AAGCGAAACAAGGCAGUUCUGCGCCUUGUCUGCCAGGUGUGGUUACCUGGUACUGAUGAGCAGCCAAGG
rnacentral:hammerhead_ribozyme from 1 species